CUUCACCAAGAGAGAUGGUGGCGGUUGCAUCUUUGGCAACCUUGAUAGACUUGCAAGGCAAUUCAUUUAUGAUGGCGGUUGCAUCUUUCACAACCUUGAUAGGAUUGCCGGCCAAGGAUAUGCUGAGAGCUAAAUUGAUGCUUAUGCUUCUUUUUUUAAAAAAAUCUCAUCAUUCUAAUUUUUUUUUUCUAUAAAAAAAUACCUUAGAAAAGCCUGCAUAAUUAUUUUUUUAAUGAAAAACAUUAUCCAUGUACAGAGUUCUACUUGCUAAAGGAUACGCUAAUAUGUUUCCCCGUUUUGAUAUCUACGACUCUGUAGGUUGUUUCCCGUUGUGAAAGUCCUGCUUUUGCUUGUGUGCGUGCAUUGUUCUUGUUGCUUCACAGGUCCCACAAGCAAUGGAUCUUCUUCUUGCUGAGUUCCAUAGAGCUUGCAUCUACACUGUCCCAAAGCACAGUCGUUUUUAAUCCCAGUAGCUUUACACAAGUGUGUUUAAAUAAUACAUCAAAAUAAAUCAAGAGGAUCUUGAAUACCCUUUAUUUGGUACAUGCUUUAUGAACAAUAGAGGAUACAAAAGGCAAGAUCAGAGAGACGGGAAACUGGGGGAAAGAGUCCUUCUCUUAAAAUUCUAUUAGGGUGAUAUGGAGUCUGCUGUCAACCUCCUGUUGCAAUCCUCUAUAAUAGCGCAUCUGAAGGAGUUUCUAUUAUGUAAAUGAUUUACUUAGAGAACCUAUCCAAUAUCCAUGUCCCAGUUUCAAUCUUGAAACAAUUUCAGAAAGUGGAAAGAUCGUCAACUGGGAAGAGCCUAAAGUUAAAUCUGCGUCGAAGUGAUUGUUUUCUGAAGUUUCCUCUAAGUUGCAGUCCCUCACUUGUGGGCAGCCAUCAAUUUUUCACCGGAAGGAAAAGCGCUACAAUUUUCUCCUAGCUAUUUUCGUGGUUCUUCGUUACUUUGGAACUUUAUGACAGAAUUGUUGAUGAACGAGUUUCGCACACCACUUUCAUUAAUUUAUCAACGUAUAAAUACAGAAGAAGUUAAGAAGAUUUGUUACAGAUUCUAGAGAUUGCAAUUGAUAUAUACAGCUAAGAAAGAUUUUAAACAAAUCAAUUUUGAAUGAGUCAUAGCAUUAUCCUAGGACUAACAAUAACAUAGGAUAGUCAGAACACACAUUAGUCUUCUGUUAUGCCAUCUUGAGAUGGAGUACGGGUCUCCAAUCUUGAAUUUGAGAUGAAUAAAUCAUUGU